CCUACGGGGGGCUGCAGUGGGGAAUAUUGGACAAUGGGCGAAAGCCUGAUCCAGCCAUGCCGCGUGUGUGAAGAAGGCCUUCGGGUUGUAAAGCACUUUCAGUGGGGAAGAAAGCCUUGGGGCUAAUACCCUCGAGGAAGGACAUCACCCACAGAAGAAGCACCGGCUAACUCCGUGCCAGCAGCCGCGGUAAUACGGAGGGUGCGAGCGGUAAUCGGAAUUACUGGGCGUAAAGCGCGCGUAGGCGGUCUGAUAAGCCGGUUGUGAAAGCCCCGGGCUCAACCUGGGAACGGCAUCCGGAACUGUCAGGCUAGAGUGCAGGAGAGGAAGGUAGAAUUCCCGGUGUAGCGGUGAAAUGCGUAGAGAUCGGGAGGAAUACCAGUGGCGAAGGCGGUCUUCUGGACUGACACUGACGCUGAGGUGCGAAAGCGUGGGUAGCAAACAGGAUUAGAUACCCCAGUAGUC
rnacentral:rRNA from 1 species